UCGAGAGUUGGUGCCGAAACCCGGGACAAGA
rnacentral:piRNA from 1 species